rnacentral:rRNA from 1 species
UACGAAGGGGGCUAGCGUUGCUCGGAAUCACUGGGCGUAAAGGGUGCGUAGGCGGGUCUUUAAGUCAGGGGUGAAAUCCUGGAGCUCAACUCCAGAACUGCCUUUGAUACUGAAGAUCUUGAGUCCGGGAGAGGUGAGUGGAACUGCGAGUGUAGAGGUGAAAUUCGUAGAUAUUCGCAAGAACACCAGUGGCGAAGGCGGCUCACUGGCCCGGUACUGACGCUGAGGCACGAAA